GGGAGGACUAAGAAGGGUUUGGAGAAGGUGAAGACUUACAGGGAAUUUUCUGGGAUGUGGGACUUUCAGCAUAACCCCUAGAAAUUCUCAGGUAACUCUAGAUGAGUUAGUCAUCCUUGGUGACUGUCAUUAUCUCUUCUCAAAGGAUGACUAGGAGUUUGGGGAAGACCAUUCUAGAUCAAAGGGCAACAUGAACAAAAGCAAGGAGGAGAGAGACAGCAUGAGAGGUUCUAGGGGAGCUGGAAGCAAUGUAGAGUUGCUGGAGGACAAAGUAUGUGACAGUCCUGGGAAAAAUGAGUCAGAGGGUCAGGCAAGAGGCAGACUGAGAAGAGUUUUGAAAAUCAUCUUAAGGAGCAUGGGAGCAUUUUAGGCAACUGAGCAACUGAUGGCAAAGACUGAAAGCCACAAGGCUCCGAAGGCUCCCCCGUUCUUGGCAUGGUGUGUCUGUUCUCCAGGCGCUCUCCUGGGUCUCUGGCAAUCUGCUCUCUGCUAAUUGGUGCAGAUGGGAGUAGGAAGGUGAACAGAGCACACGAGGGAGGAAGCAGAUUCUCCCGGAAGACUGAAUGACAUGAUAGAUCUAAAAUACCUCAUCCAUGGAUACAAGGCCCACAUUCUGAAGAUGACCUGGAUCUCCACGCCAGUGUGUUCAAGGCUUUUAAGGGAUGGGAGGAUUUUUAUAGCUUCCACUGGAAGACAAUUAACAGGAUUUAAAAGGAUGCAUGGAAACCCUACAGAAACAGAUGCACCCACAAAGCCAUGAUAAACACACUAGUUUAAAAUGAUGCUGGAAGAGUUUUAGGUUAAUUCCAUAAUGGCUGUAGCAUCCUCUGCCCAGGAAGAGGAAAUGCCAGCUCCAAAAAUUACUGCUGCUGAUUACAACAUGGAAGAAACUUAAACUGUCAAGUGACAAGAAAGCUAUACAUCAAAGGAUGCUAUUGAGAAUAAACUUUGACAGCAAUACA
rnacentral:lncRNA from 1 species